GGAUUGAGAUGAGAUGAGUAGUAGAAUUUUUUCGGGUGGAGAGGUUUGGGAGGAAUUUGGGAUUUAGUUAGAUUUAAUACCUCUUUAUGGAUGUCAGUUUCUAAAGCCCUUUGUAACUACGAGUUGAGUGUUAUUCUUUUGGAUUGAGAUCCUUUCUUGUAGGUCGUUACCAUUUUGUUGGGCUUGGUUGUUGUGUUCAUUUUAUAUAUUCUUUCAUGUUUCUCAAUGAUAGUUUGGUUUCUUCUCAAAAGAAGGAAAAAAAAACUGAAGCAACAUUUGAAGCACAUUCAAAGCAUCUACAUGAGAACUAUUUACAAUUCCGUGAGUUCAAGUUAGUUUCUUGAGAGUGGAAAGCUGUCUUUGUUCUUUCGUCUUCAAAUCAUUUCUUUUAAAGGACUCUGUGGGUGGGAGGGGUGGUGGAGCUAUACCUUAACUUCUAAUUUUCGAUUGUAUCCUAUAGAAAUGAAAUGAGAAAUCGAUUGUCUUAGCAUCGUUUUUCUCCAUGGAAGUGGGGGAAUAAGGAUGGCCGGAUGGGGGAAUAGUGGAUUCAAUAAUGGAGGUUGUAAAAAUGAUGGAAUUCAAGGAUCAAAUCGGGUUUGUGGAUUAUGUAGUGAAGAUGACACAAGGGAAGUCUAAUCUCAGACUGUUAGCUGUUAAUCUUAUCACAUUCCAGGUGAUUAUUUAUUUUGUUACUUCUUACUCCUGGUUGCUAUUCUCUAACGGAUGUAUUUCCCCAAUGGCACGAUUUUUGGUUGUAUUUAAGUUACGGUAGGGGUUCUUUGCAUUUAUGCUAUUCUCUAAUUGUAAAAAAUUAAUAGGUAUCAUUACUAAGAUAUUUUUUAUUUCAUUUGAGUUGAUGAACUCCAAAAAUGAGCUUAUGUAGUUUGUUUUAUAGAACACGUCCAGUUUCAUGUAAAUUUGUGUUGGUAUUCUUCCUCUUGUUGCUAAUGGAAGAAUAAAAACAUGAAAAUUCGAGAGCCAAGAAGAGAUAAAUUCUGGAUCGUGUAAUUUGACGAGGAUUUGUAGGUAGACGUUAAUGUCGCAUCAAAAUGUUAUGUGGCGUAAUUUGAACUUUUUAAAGCUGAUGGACUAAAGACAUACAUGAUAUUCACAAAAGCACGAAGAUUAAGGAAUGAAAAUUAUUUUUUGUCAGUUGGAUGGUUAUUGAAGCAUCAAACAAGAUCAAGGUAUGUGUAGUGGAGUUUUUUAGAAUUUUGGAAAAAAAAAAUUAGUAAAACAUUAUGCUUGUUGACAUGGUGUACUAACUACCAGGAUAUUGACAAGUUUUUAUGGCAACAAAUCAGAUUGACAUUCUUGAUCAGCCUCUUCUCAGACCUAGAUGAAUUUAUGGAAAAAUUGAGUUCUCAAAUCUAAAUGAGGAGGUACGUAACUGUGUUAAACAUCCUGGUUCAACUAUUUUACUCUCUCACAUUUUGAAGUUGGGGCUUUAACUAGAUUUUUUCUCAAGAUAUUUUUGUUGAAAUAUGGAAUCAAAACUUAUUUUUAUGAGUAAUAUGUUUGAUCAAACUUAAAUAGAAUCGAGUUUUUGUAGCGGUAGAGUAUGCAUCUUAUUGAGUUCUAGUUCUUCUAGCUUAUAAGAUAUAAUUCUUGCAGGUUCUUCUUUAGUGAACUUUUUCUUUUGCUCUUGUAUCUCUGCAUGUGGUAGAAAGCUCAUCAUUUGAAAGUCAUGAAAUCCAAAAAAGAUCAAGUAACUAAGUCUUUUCUUGUUAUUAUAUUUGCUUCCCUGAUCUUGUGGUCGUUCUUCAAGAGUUUGAACCAACUACUUAAAAGGAAAAGUUGGAGAUAGAGGAACUUUUCGACACGACACAAAGAACUACCAUUAGAUGUGAGUCAGGUUACACACUCACCAUCACAUCCGUUGUUUAGAAAGCAUAUAAAGUUGGACUUUCACUAUGCCCAGCUUGUGGGAGCAACAUUUUGAGAAAUGAGAAUGUACAGGGAAGAGUUUCGGCGUAUUUUUUCGACAUGUACAAGGUUGAUGUAAUGUGAAUAUAGUUCAUUGGGCAUUAUCUUAUUGUAGUCAUAGACUUAUAGUAUAGUAUUUGUAUAAAAUAUCCUAAUGUACAAAUUUAAUCAGACUUUGAUCUUAUUAUACGCAACUUGGUUA